AACGAACGCUGGCGGCAUGCCUAACACAUGCAAGUCGAACGAGAUCUUCGGGUCUAGUGGCGCACGGGUGCGUAACGCGUGGGAAUCUGCCCUUUGGUUCGGAAUAACAGUUGGGAACGACUGCUAAUACCGGAUGAUGACGAAAGUCCAAAGAUUUAUCGCCAGAGGAUGAGCCCGCGUAGGAUUAGCUAGUUGGUGUGGUAAAGGCGCACCAAGGCGACGAUCCUUAGCUGGUCUGAGAGGAUGAUCAGCCACACUGGGACUGAGACACGGCCCAGACUCCUACGGGAGGCAGCAGUGGGGAAUAUUGGACAAUGGGCGAGAGCCUGAUCCAGCAAUGCCGCGUGAGUGAUGAAGGCCUUAGGGUUGUAAAGCUCUUUUACCCGGGAUGAUAAUGACAGUACCGGGAGAAUAAGCUCCGGCUAACUCCGUGCCAGCCGCCGCAGUAA
rnacentral:rRNA from 1 species